GACGAACGCUGGCGGCGUGCUUAACACAUGCAAGUCGUACGGUAAGGCCCUUUCGGGGGUACACGAGUGGCGAACGGGUGAGUAACACGUGAGUAACCUGUCCACAACUUUGGGAUAACGCUAGGAAACUGGUGCUAAUACUGGAUAUGUGCUCCUGCUGCAUGGUGGGGGUUGGAAAGCUCCGGCGGUUGUGGAUGGACUCGCGGCCUAUCAGCUUGUUGGUGGGGUAGUGGCCUACCAAGGCGGCGACGGGUAGCCGGCCUGAGAGGGUGACCGGCCACAUUGGGACUGAGAUACGGCCCAGACUCCUACGGGAGGCAGCAGUGGGGAAUAUUGCACAAUGGGCGCAAGCCUGAUGCAGCAACGCCGCGUGCGGGAUGACGGCCUUCGGGUUGUAAACCGCUUUCAGCAGGGACGAAGCUUUUUGUGACGGUACCUGCAGAAGAAGCACCGGCUAACUACGUG
rnacentral:rRNA from 1 species